CUGGCCCUCCCCCAGAAGGGGUGACGAUUUGCUCCCCAGCAUUCCGUGAUUAAAGGGGGAAAUGGCGGAGCGACUUGAAGUGAAUAUUUAAGGUUUUUUCUCCUCCUGAAGUAAGUUUCUGAUGAAUGAUUCCAUCUUUUAGCGUACGACUUGAUAAGAUUUUUAAGAUUUCGAUCUCGUAACACCUUCAUAACAGCUGGAAGAGUCAGCCUCGAACUAUCCUCUUUUGAGUCUUGAUGCAUGUCCUAAAGUUUGAGAUCUUUAGAAUCAUGAAAGUCCUGAAAAUGAUUGCAUAAACAAGACAGAACAAAGACGUUUAUAUCCAAUCAGAGAUUUGUAGAAGAGCAAUGAAUGUGCUAUUGACAAAGUUCAAUUCAGAUUGUGAGAGGAAGCAAAGAAGAACGAAAAAGUCUAAGACAAGGAAAAGGCUUAAAAUGUUGGUUUAGCGAUCUAGUACCAGUUAAAUAUUUAUUAGACACAUAAUAAAGAUAUUAAAUAUCUCUGUGUUACGCUUUGUGGA